AACCAGCACCUCAAGUGGUCAGGAUGAUUAUUGGGCCUAAAGCAUCCGUAGCCGGCUCUGUAAGUUUUCGGUUAAAUCUGUACGCUCAACGUACAGGCUGCCGGGAAUACUGCAGAACUAGGGAGUGGGAGAGGUAGACGGUACUCGGUAGGAAGGGGUAAAAUCCUUUGAUCUAUUGAUGACCACCUGUGGCGAAGGCGGUCUACCAGAACACGUCCGACGGUGAGGGAUGAAAGCUGGGGGAGCAAACCGG
rnacentral:rRNA from 1 species